UGGACGGUGGACGGAGCUAGGUGGGCGGUGCGUGGCGCUCCCGCAAUCUCAGGAUACCCUGGCUGCUGGCGGGGCUACGGUGCUGGCUCGGGGUGAGGUGUGUGUGUGUGUUGACGUGGAUUUUUAACAAAUGCUGGGUUUUUAGUGUCCGUCAAUCCUGGCUUUUCAGUUUUUUCUACCUAGGCUUGUUCAUUCUCUUCACACUCCCUUAAGUACCCUUAUUCUCUUCAUGGCCGGCCGCAGUGCAGCCUUCUGCACGAAUCCCUUAUUUGUCCCCAACUUUCCUCCUUCCGUAAUGGGAUUUGCUUUCCGUUCACUUUUUAAUCGACUAAACGGAUAAACUCCAAAGUUUUGAGAGACUAAGUGGGAUUCUUCCUUUGCGCUCUGAAGUUCCCUUGAAUGCCCUCGCGCUAGCUUAUACCCUUCAUUAACGCUCGUCGUGCCUGUCAUUGCUUCAUCCAUGUCUGCAUGCCACACUAGGUUUCAAACUGUCGCGAGUAUUAAAAACAAAAUCAACGGCCAAAUGACUCAACUGCGAUUGUGCCAGUGAGAACCUCAGGAGCCUAGCAGAAGAUAACGCUGGGAAGGGUUCAAGGAGCUAAGCCGAGAGUUUUGGCUGCCCACCACAGACAGAGCCAGCUCUGGCCUGCUCUAUCUCUCAUUACUGUGAUGACGGCUGUAUCCAGAUGCUAAACACUCCAGAGACACUCCAAUGCAGUGCUAAAGACUCAAAACACUUCAUCCCCAAAGAAUGUAGCAUUCCAGGAGAAAACAGGCCUCCUUCUGACACUGGUAAAACUGUGAAGGUGUGUGAUAAAUCAGGGAUCAAAAUGAGAGGCCACAGAUUCUCUGCCCCUUACAGUGAAUCCUGCUCUUCUCUUUUCAAUGGAGUAACAGUCAUAUUUAAAAAAAAAAAAAAAAGUUUGUACAGACACACUAAUGGAAACAAUGACAAAAUAUAUUCAAACAUAAAGUGUUACAAUAGCUAGAGGCUGUUCUAGAUGGGAAUCAAAGAAUAAAUAGCUGGAGAUGUAACUAAGGAUAAAAACAUAUGAAACGUCUUGGGCUAUUUGAGGGGAUUAGUUUUGAGAGGGUGGGCAGGAAUAGUUUGUCCUUGGGGCAAUGGUUGCUUCCAUUUUCUUUCCUUCUGUUUUUCCUUGUUUUUCUUCCUUCUUUUCUCCCUCCCUUUCUCCUUCCAGCUCCCACCCUUCCUUCCUUCUUUCCUCUCUUUCUUUUUACAGAAAUUUUCAUUUCUUCACUGCCACAAAACAAAGACAACAGGGUGUUCAAAGUACCAUUUACUUGACUCAUCAACCUCCUAAAGUAAUAUAAAUUUUUUAAAAUGUAAAAUAAUAAAUGUUAUCUAUAUCCAAGAAAAAAAAUAGUGGCCAAAAAUUCUUGGCUAUAAAUUAGAAUUCUUUUUUCACUAACAAAAUCAAGUGUUUUAAUCAAAAGUAUGUACAAGAUUGUUUCUAAAAUGACCACUGCCGAAGUUUGCUAACAAAAAUGCAAAACAAUCUGCUUCAGUACAACAGAAAUAUAUAAAUUAUGGCCACAAAUGUUAAUUAAAAAUUUCAAAACAAUAAGUUUACUUGUUUUGUUAAAGCAUUAUGUAAUUCCUAGCAUUUUUUGUUUCUUUUUGCUUUUUAAUGAGGUGUCAUUUAUGUAAAGUACACAAGUGUACAUCUUGAUAAAUCUUUCCAUAGUCUACAGCCAUGUAACCGCCAACCAGAUCAAGAUAGAGAACCCCUCAAAGACAAUGUUUCCAAGUUUAAGUGUGUAAGACUCUCCUGAGGAUGUUGUUAAAAAUCUAGAUUCCUAGGUCACAAUCCCAGAGGUUCAAUAUCGGUGGGUCUAGGGUAGGGUCCCUGAGACCGAUUAUUUAAUAAGCACUUCCACUUAGAGAAACUCUGCCCUAGAAAGAAACCUAACUUAACUCAAUGGCUCUAGAAGUUCUAUUACUCUCUACUUUAAAGAUAAUUUAUUGGGAAACCUAGGUGCUUUCCUACCAAGGAAGAAUAUAUAUGACAUUUGCUAUCCCUGUGUAAUUUUAACUUUUAGCAUUGUUUUUUCUUUCUUUGAGCCAGAGUUUCCCAAAUGAAGUUUCCACCAGUCCAUAGAAAAAUGAAAAUUAAUAAGACCAUAUUUUUCAUAAAGUUAUUUAUUCAUAAAGUUAGAUGUAUCUAAAGGAUUGUCAUUUAUUUUCAGAUUAUGUUCUUCCUACCUUCAGGACUUUCAAAUGCUCUUUGCUUUACAAAAUAAUUCUAACAGUAAAAUAGUAUGGCCUUUUUUUCUUAUUAAUUCUGAUAAAUUAAGAGAUAGAAACGCUAUAUUGUUCAACUUUGAAAAAUCUGAGCUAUCAAGCCUUCAGGUCUGCUCCUGAAAUUUGAACCGAUUGCCACCAGGGGAAGUAGAGUACUACAGCCUGUGUGAUUUCAACUGUAGAGGCAUUUUUUUCUGCCAGAGCAUGUCAAAUUUAACUGCAGAUUUUCUACUACAGUCUUCUGUCACUUAACAAUGAGGAGAUGAGAUAUGUUCUGAGAAAUGUGUCCUUAGGCUAGUUCAUCACUGUGCUAACAUCAGUGUGUACUCACACAAACCUAGAUGGUAUAGCCUACCACACACUUAUGCUAGAUGGUAUAGCCUAUUGCUCCUAGGCUACAAACCCACACAGCAUGUUACUGUACUGAAUACUGCAGGCAGUUGUAACACAAUGGUAAGUAUCUGUGUAUCUAAACAUAGAAAAAGUACAGUAAAAAUAUGUACUAUAAUCUUAGGAGACCAUGAUAUAGUAUAUGUGGGUUUGUCACUGACCAAACCAUCAUUAUGUGGUAUAUGACUGUACUCCAAAAAACAACCUUAGCUUCUUUUCUGUAUAUAUAAGCAACAUAUGGUCUCUGUAAAAAACUUUCAAAGAAUGGGAAAAAUUAAAUCAAACCAUCAAACCAUUGUUAAUGUGUUUAUUUUUUUCCAUUUAAUUUUAGUCUUUUUCUAUGUACAAUUUUUUAAACAAGUCAGGAAUGAAAUGAAGGUAGAAAGAUAGAUAGAUUCAUUACCACCUGAUAUUUUUCUUCAGCAGUUUCCAAUGUCAUUAAAAUCCUUUCAAUGUAGUUUUGUCUGUAUAGUGUUCUAUCUCAUGAAUGCAUCAUAA
rnacentral:lncRNA from 1 species